CAACUGCUUAGCUUUUCUUAACUGAUAUUAGUCAAUUUGGAAGUUGUGCAAGAACUUUAGUCAAUUUAAACCUUGAUUGUUUUGUGGUUGUUUCAAAAGUAACUUACAAUUUUGAGAUAGAUAUUAUUUUUUUAAAAAAUCAGACACAUUGUUGCUUUGUAGUCCAUUGUAUGGAUACUGUUCUUUCUUUGUGUGUUGGGGUACCAUUGAAGCAUUUUAAUCAGAAGAGUGACUUGCGUUUAACAGAAUCGCUGUGAGUGCUAUGGAGUAUAGGCUGUAGGGUGGUAUCCUGAAGCAGAAGACCAGUAAAGCAGCAGCUGUAAUGAUACUAAUAAAUGUAGGGGUCUCAUAACAGGCUAGCCAUGAAGGGAAGGAAGGUGAUCAGAUUCUGAAUACAUUUUGAAAGUAGAGCUCAUAGGAUUUCAUGAGGGAUUGGAUGUGGGAUUUGAAAGAAAGAGAGUAGUUGAGGAUAAUUCCAAGAUUUUUGGCUUGAAUAGACAGAAGAUACGAAAGCAGCUGAUUUGGACAGGAGGUUUAAAGGUAUAUUUCUGGAAGAUUAAGAUUGAGAUGCAUCUAAGACAUAUAAGAGGAAUUUCAAGUAGGCAGGUGAAUAUAUGAGUCUGAGAUUCAAGAGAGAGAGAAAUCUAGGAUGGAGUUAUAAAUUUUGGAGUCAUUAGCAUAUAGAUGGUUUUUAAGGCCAUGAGACUGCAUAAGAUCAUUAUCCAAAUAAGACUGAGUUGAGAGAGAAAGAUGUUUAGAGGCUGAGCUCUGGGCAUACUGAGGUUAGGAGCUGGUGGGGGAUGAGCAGGGAACAGCAAAAGGGACUAUGAAGUAAAAAGACAGCUGGUGAGGUGUAGAGUCCUAGAAGCCAAAUGAAGAGAGUGCUGAAAGGAGAGAGUAACCGUACUUUUCAAGUAAAGGAUAUAAGGACUAGGAAUUGACCGUUGAAUUUAGUAACCUGAAAAUCAUUAAUGACCUUGCCAACUGUAAUUUCAGUGGAGCAAUGAACUGAAGAUAUUUGAGUGAGUUCAAGAGAGACUCAGAAGAGAAGAAUUGGAGGCAGCAAACAUAGACAGCACUUUUAAUGCUUUUCUCAUAUGCUGUAAGACAUGAAAGCAAUCUAUUGGGAUGAAAGCUGAAAGGAGAAGCGGGACAAGAGAAGGUAUCUUUUGUUUUUGUUUUCAAUGGGAAAGUUACAGCAGGCUUAUAUGCUGUGGGAAUGAUGCAGUAAAGAAGAGAUAUUAAUGAUGGAGAAGGAAGAGACUUUUUGGUUUAAUGACUUUAAGUAGAGAUGAAGUGACAGACCCCAGUCCACAAAUGAAGAUGGAAGCACUGAUAAGGCCUACUUGUUAGAGGGGAAAGUAGAGUAAGUGGGCAGCUAGAUGUGAGUAGGUGGAUACAUGCAUGAUAGUACCCUGUGGAAAUCCUUUUCUCAUUGUUUAGGCGAGAGUAGGUUGGAGGCAGAAAUAAGGGAAAUUAGAAAAAAAGGAAGAACAACUGAAAAUCAUCUACUAGACUGGGUGGGAUGGGGCAGGUUGGAGAAUGGUUCUGAGAAUUUAGUGUGACUGCCAGACAAC
rnacentral:lncRNA from 1 species